CGCGACAAUACGCCCAAAUCCUUCGAUUUCCUUGUUUUAACCGCCCUCCGAGGAACCAUCGUUGCCCAUGGCGUCUCGGCUCAAGGUCGCCGAAGGAAUGCUUAUUCUGAUAUUUUAGAAUUGUUAUUCCAUGAACCGAACCAAUGGCUGAUUGGAGUUUCAUACAUGCAAUUGUUACCUUGACUAGGUAAAUAAGGCUGGAUUUGUACUGGUUUAGUUUCCUCCUCUCCAUUUUUCAUUCUUUCCUGCUUGACAGAGCAGCUGCUAACUUCCACAGCUUCCUCCUUCGGCCGGUGACCUCUCGUCUUCCACGGCUGCUUCCACCGUCUGACUGCAAAAGCGUCCUCCCUCUCGCACGCAGUGGUGUCGAAAAGGAGCACGGUGAAGUGCAUAUUGCCAUCGUACCGGAAGACUAGGAACUCGCAUUCUUUCAGAGAGUGAUCCUUCACGAACUUGCUCCAGCCGGAGGCAAGGAACGUGCCUUCCCUGUUUCUCCUCAGCUCCACACUCCAUUUGCUUCCGCUGGGGCCGUGAAGGAAGAUGGCCGUUUUGGACUCUGUGGCUGGACCUGGAAUGUGUUUCAGAAACUUUGGGGGAAUCCUCUGCAGCAGAUUCAAAGAGCAAGUAAACAGAAAUCAAAGCGCCACAGGGGAAGCACAUUCAGAUAGAGAUAGACGAGGGAGGAGCUUGCCAGGUGGUGGGUGAAGUCGCCGAGGAGGACUUUGAAGAAGUGGGGCUUCCUCUGCCUCACCAGGUUCUGCUGCUGCUGCUUCUUCUUGAUUGUGUUCUUCUGCUGCUGCUGCUGGGAGUUCAUGGUGGCUCUCGGAUUGGAAAGGCUCAGGUGGUGGAUGAAACUAAUGCGGUGGAAGGAUUGAUAUGAUGCUGAAUUAUUGAUAGGGAAAGAAGGGAGAGCAAUAAAAGGAGCGCUGCUUUUGAGGUCUCUCGCGCUGCUUUGAUUUCCUCAACGGAAGGACAAAGAUCGAAGACUGCGCCUACUGCUGCCAUUUGCAUUAUCCACUACCGCAGCGCACACGCACAACUCUCUCUCUCUUCUCUCUUCUCUCUUCUCUCUUCUCUCUUUAAUCUGGCUCGGGAAAGAGAAUGAAUAUGCGAAGGUUCCUUCUUAGAAGAUACCAAGGUUUUCAUAUAAUAACUCAUAAAACCAAAUCUCAAAUGCAGUUUACUUGCAGUUUGAUCUUGUUAAGGUCAUUGUUUGGUUGUAGUAGAAGCUACAACUCAUACAGUGGGUUUCACUUUCAUUGAGGUCUUUUAUUAGCACAGUGCCACAGCAAAUAA